CUACGUGCCAGCAGCCGCGGUAAUACGUAGGGUGCAAGCGUUAAUCGGAAUUACUGGGCGUAAAGCGCACGCAGGCGGUCUGUCAAGUCGGAUGUGAAAUCCCCGGGCUCAACCUGGGAACUGCAUUCGAAACUGGCAGGCUAGAGUCUUGUAGAGGGGGGUAGAAUUCCAGGUGUAGCGGUGAAAUGCGUAGAGAUCUGGAGGAAUACCGGUGGCGAAGGCGGCCCCCUGGACAAAGACUGACGCUCAGGUGCGAAAGCGUGGGGAGCAAACAGGAUUAGAUACCCUGGUAGUCCACGCCGUAAACGAUGUCGACUUGGAGGUUGUGCCCUUGAGGCGUGGCUUCCGGAGCUAACGCGUUAAGUCGACCGCCUGGGGAGUACGGCCGCAAGGUUAAAACUCAAAUGAAUUGACGGGGGCCCGCACAAGCGGUGGAGCAUGUGGUUUAAUUCGAUGCAACGCGAAGAACCUUACCUACUCUUGACAUCCAGA
rnacentral:rRNA from 1 species